rnacentral:rRNA from 1 species
AUUGAACGCUGGCGGCAGGCCUAACACAUGCAAGUCGAACGAGUGGCGGACGGGUGAGUAAUGUCUGGGAAACUGCCUGAUGGAGGGGGAUAACUACUGGAAACGGUAGCUAAUACCGCAUACCAUCAGAUGUGCCCAGAUGGGAUUAGCUUGUUGUUGGGGUAACGGCUCACCAAGGCGACGAUCCCUAGCUGGUCUGAGAGGAUGACCAGCCACACUGGAACGGAUACACGGUCCAGACGCAGACGGGAGGCAGCAGGGGUGAAUAUUGCACAAUGUGGUCAAGACUGAUGCAGCAAUGGCGCGGGUAUGAGGAAGGUCUUCGGGUUGUAAAGUACUGCCAGCGGGGAGGCGUUACUCGAAGAAGAAGCACCGGCUAACUCCGUGCCAGCCGCCGCGGUAAUUC